rnacentral:lncRNA from 1 species
GUGAUACUUAUAAAAUAUUCACUGCCAGGGUUGGACUAGACUUUUGAGAGAAAGUGCCUUUUAGAAAUGGCAGGGCGAGAUAUUCAAAUAAAACUUUAAGGUUGCAUUUUAUAAAAGACUGAGGAUUAUUUAUCCCAACAACUGCAAAAUCAUUCCCAUAAAGAGUAGAAAAUAUAAGUGGUAGGAAAAAAUAUAUCAGUUGAUUAUUUUCUUUGAAAGAAGAAUCUCAGAUCACUCAUCUGAUGUUUCUCUUUGAAGUUUGAAAGGUUCGUGACAGCUCACAGCUCAUGAUGGUGGCAAUCUUGAGGAUACAGAAAACUCAUUCCUCAUGCAGGGAAGAAGAAAAUAUUCUAAAGAAGUGAUAAGCAUAUUCCAUGAAAUCAAGAAAGGGCAGCAUGGAAGACUUUUUGCCGUGGUGCACUUUGCCAGCCACCAGUUCGAUUCCAUUUCAGUCAAAUCUUCAAAGGAAGAGAGGAAGUUACUGUGUAUAAUAAGAGUGAAGAACUGGAAGUUCCUGGAAGGAAAUCCUGGAAGUUCAGAUCCUCUGAAGACCUGAUCUUAAUUGUAAAUGAACUAGACCUUGCGUGUGGAGAGAGAAUUCAACUGGAGAAGGUCCUACUGGUUGAGGUAGACAACUUCACACUGUUUGGCAAGCCACUCCUUGAAAAGGAUCUUGCUCGAGUAGAAGACACAGUCAUUGAAAAGACAGAAUCAUGGCCAAGAGUCAUUAUGAGACUUAGGAGAAGAAAAACUUCGAGAAGAAAAAAUUCACUGUGACCCCAAAUCGAUCUCCAGAUAAACAGCUCCGUGUUUGUUGCGAUCACCAAGUUAACAUUUACAGAAGUCUAAAAAUAAACUUUUGCUUUCCAAGGGAAAAAUAAUAUCUUGGGUACAGCUUCC